GGGAUUAGUGGCGAACGGGUGAGUAACACGUGGGCAAUCUGCCCUGCACUCUGGGACAAGCCCUGGAAACGGGGUCUAAUACCGGAUAACAGCCUCCAUCGCAUGGUGGGGGUUUGAAAGCUCCGGCGGUGCAGGAUGAGCCCGCGGCCUAUCAGCUUGUUGGUGAGGUAGUGGCUCACCAAGGCGACGACGGGUAGCCGGCCUGAGAGGGCGACCGGCCACACUGGGACUGAGACACGGCCCAGACUCCUACGGGAGGCAGCAGUGGGGAAUAUUGCACAAUGGGCGAAAGCCUGAUGCAGCGACGCCGCGUGAGGGAUGACGGCCUUCGGGUUGUAAACCUCUUUCAGCAGGGAAGAAGCGAAAGUGACGGUACCUGCAGAAGAAGCGCCGGCUAACUACGUGCCAGCAGCCGCGGUAAUACGUAGGGCGCAAGCGUUGUCCGGAAUUAUUGGGCGUAAAGAGCUCGUAGGCGGCUUGUCGCGUCGGUUGUGAAAGCCCGGGGCUUAACCCCGGGUCUGCAGUCGAUACGGGCAGGCUAGAGUUCGGUAGGGGAGAUCGGAAUUCCUGGUGUAGCGGUGAAAUGCGCAGAUAUCAGGAGGAACACCGGUGGCGAAGGCGGAUCUCUGGGCCGAUACUGACGCUGAGGAGCGAAAGCGUGGGGAGCGAACAGGAUUAGAUACCCUGGUAGUCCACGCCGUAAACGGUGGGCACUAGGUGUGGGCAAC
rnacentral:rRNA from 1 species